UCUACUAAAGGAUAGAAGCUAUAUUCCAUUGGUCUUAGGCGCCAAGAGCCUUGGUGCAAAUCCAAGUAGUAGAA
rnacentral:tRNA from 1 species